rnacentral:misc_RNA from 1 species
UUUUUACCUUUCUAUGAAGGGUGACACACAGACAAUCGUCCUUAGAGAGGCUUAUGAGCGCAAUCAACUGAUUGAGAAGCAUCCCCUUGUUCAGAUAAGGGAGAAAUUCGCGAACAUGAUGAAACAAGGUUUUCUAAAUCGUAGUAGAGGGUUAUAUAAAGACACUAACCAAGGUCCAGAGGAAGAGAAAUCAUUGACAAGUAGUUUUGUUGGUGAGACCUGUGGAACUAGAUAUUACUCUGAUAUAGGCUCG